UGAUGACACUUCUCCGGAAUCUCUGCUACUACUUUGAUGAUUCUUUUGAACCCUUUAGUCUGAAGGCUGUCUUGAUCUAAGC